rnacentral:lncRNA from 1 species
UUUUGUCUUUAUAAGAAGAGGAAGAUCGACCAGAGCUCUCUCUCUCUUCUCUAGGCAUGUGCUCUGAGAAAAGGUCAUCUGAGGACAAAGUACCCGUCUGCAAGCCAGGAAGAGAGCCCUUGCCAGAAACUAAACCCCGCUGGAAACUUGAUUUUGCGCUUUCCAGCCUCUAGAACUCAGAGUGAGUACGGAGGAUAAAGGAAAAAAUGAAAUUAUAUUACAACUGUGCGACCAGACUGCUGAACAGGUUUGGGUGGACACCGAAAUUCUUUGCCUGAAAACCUUUUAAAAAUAUGAAAACAAGACAAAAAAUGGCUGGGUUUUGAAUAUGUGAAAAACAUUUAAAUCAGAAAGUAAAUGACAGGAUGAUUUGCAAGACACAGGGAUGUAAAAUUAAAAAGCCUCUCGAGCUCCAAAGAAGCAGAUUCUGCUUUGCUCUAUUUGUGAAAGACAACUGGAUGAGUAAAGAUUACUACUUGCAAGGAGACUAGCAAUUUAUCCAAAAUUGGAAACAGAGAAAACGGCAUCUUCUUUUCACUCAUUCUGACUCAAAAUGGGUGUAGCUCAUCAGAGUACAUCGUUACAUUUUCGGGACUUUUGCUACCUGGCUCACAUCACUUUGGUAGCUUGAACUCUGCCAUGAUUGGGAAUAUUUACACCACAAAAAUGGGCUAAUCUCCUAGGAAUGGAUUCUAGGACGGCAUCAGCAGGGGGAUGCAUCAGGACGAUAAUUCCAAGAGUUCAAUGGUGAAUUUCCUUGGCUUCCACUGAUAUCAUGUUGAAUUUUUCCCAAUGGUAAUCUUAUGAUGGCUGCAGCUACCUGUUAACUUCAACAAGCACACUGGCCUGGAGACUACAUGAUGGUGUAUCAGUAAUGGUGCCUCUCCAUCAUUGCCCAUCAAAGACAUUUCUGAUGCUCCAGAAGGAUACCCUUGAGGUCAUCCUGUUCUCACCUCCAAUAUUCAUUAUGAUCUCUAACAUCACUAUAUACAACAUUUUUGUAUAUAUAGAGGAUUUACAACUGCAAACAUCUCAAGCAGCAGUGCCACAUCCCUGCUACCUCCCUGCUUGUGCGUGUGUCCCUACAUUAUCCAAAAUAGGGGUGGGCUAAUGACGAUUGCAGGCUAACUCCAGCCUACCACUUGCUUCUAUAAAUAAAGUCUUAUUGUACACAAACAUAGCCAUUUAUUUA